rnacentral:ncRNA from 1 species
CAACAAACUAGCUUGACGAAGCGAAAAGCAGACCUGUGAACUGCCUGUUUGUUGUUUUUGUUAUUCACA